UUGAUUGACGGUGCUUGCAUCUGAUUGACUUUUGUUGCCAACGAGUGGCGGACGGGUGAGUAACACGUACGUUACCUGCCCAGAAGUGGGGGACAACAUUUGGAAACAGAUGCUAAUACCGCAUAACAGCGUUGUUCGCAUGAACAACGCUUAAAAGAUGGCUUCUCGCUAUCACUUCUGGAUGGACCUGCGGUGCAUUAGCUUGUUGGUGGGGUAACGGCCUACCAAGGCGAUGAUGCAUAGCCGAGUUGAGAGACUGAUCGGCCACAAUGGGACUGAGACACGGCCCAUACUCCUACGGGAGGCAGCAGUAGGGAAUCUUCCACAAUGGGCGCAAGCCUGAUGGAGCAACACCGCGUGAGUGAAGAAGGGUUUCGGCUCGUAAAGCUCUGUUGUUAAAGAAGAACACGUAUGAGAGUAACUGUUCAUACGUUGACGGUAUUUAACCAGAAAGUCACGGCUAACUACGUGCCAGCAGCCGCGGUAAUACGUAGGUGGCAAGCGUUAUCCGGAUUUAUUGGGCGUAAAGAGAGUGCAGGCGGUUUUCUAAGUCUGAUGUGAAAGCCUUCGGCUUAACCGGAGAAGUGCAUCGGAAACUGGAUAACUUGAGUGCAGAAGAGGGUAGUGGAACUCCAUGUGUAGCGGUGGAAUGCGUAGAUAUAUGGAAGAACACCAGUGGCGAAGGCGGCUACCUGGUCUGCAACUGACGCUGAGACUCGAAAGCAUGGGUAGCGAACAGGAUUAGAUACCCUA
rnacentral:rRNA from 1 species